AGUGAACGCUGGCGGUAGGCCUAACACAUGCAAGUCGAACGGCAGCACAGUAAGAGCUUGCUCUUACGGGUGGCGAGUGUCGGACGGGUGAGGAAUACAUCGUAAUCUACUUUUUCGUGGGGGAUAACGUAGGGAUACUUACGCUAAUCCCGCAUACGAACUACGGGUGAAAGCAGUGGCUCUUCUGACCUUGCGCGAUUCAAUGAUCCGCUGUCGGAUUAGCUCGUUGGCGUGGUAAAGUCGCACCAAGGCGACGAUCCGUAGCUGGUCUGAGAGGGCGGUCGGGCAGACUGGAACUGAGACACGGCCCAGACACCGAAGCGAGGCAGCAGUGGGGAAUACUGGGCGAGGGGGGAAAGCCUGAUCCUGCCAUAUCGAGUGGGUGAAGAAGGACUUAGGGUUGUAAAGCCCUUUUGUUGGGAAAGAAAAGCAGCAGGUUAAUACCCCGCGGUUCUGACGGUACCCAAAGAAUAAGCACCGGCUAACUUCGUG
rnacentral:rRNA from 1 species